AGUGAACGCUGGCGGUAGGCCUAACACAUGCAAGUCGAACGGCAGCACAGUAAGAGCUUGCUCUUACGGGUGGCGAGUGGCGGACGGGUGAGGAAUACAUCGGAAUCUACUUUUUCGUGGGGAUAACGUAGGAAACUUACGCUAAUACCGCAUACGACCUACGGGUGAAAGCAGGGGAUCUUCGGACCUUGCGCGAUUGAAUGAGCCGAUGUCGGAUUAGCUAGUUGGCGGGGUAAAGGCCCACCAAGGCGACGAUCCGUAGCUGGUCUGAGAGGAUGAUCAGCCACACUGGAACUGAGACACGGUCCAGACUCCUACGGGAGGCAGCAGUGGGGAAUAUUGGACAAUGGGCGCAAGCCUGAUCCAGCCAUACCGCGUGGGUGAAGAAGGCCUUCGGGUUGUAAAGCCCUUUUGUUGGGAAAGAAAAGCAGCAGGUUAAUACCCCGCUGUUCUGACGGUACCCAAAGAAUAAGCACCGGCUAACUUCGUG
rnacentral:rRNA from 1 species